UGGGGAAUAUUGCACAAUGGGCGAAAGCCUGAUGCAGCGACGCCGCGUGAGGGAUGACGGCCUUCGGGUUGUAAACCUCUUUCAGUAGGGACGAAGCGCAAGUGACGGUACCUGCAGAAGAAGCACCGGCUAACUACGUGCCAGCAGCCGCGGUAAUACGUAGGGUGCGAGCGUUGUCCGUAAUUACUGGGCGUAAAGAGCUCGUAGGCGGUUUGUCACGUCGUCUGUGAAAUCCUAGGGCUUAACCCUGGACGUGCAGGCGAUACGGGCUGACUUGAGUACUACAGGGGAGACUGGAAUUUCUGGUGUAGCGGUGGAAUGCACAGAUAUCAGGAAGAACACCGAUGGCGAAGGCAGGUCUCUGGGUAGUAACUGACGCUGAGGAGCGAAAGCAUGGGUAGCGAACAG
rnacentral:rRNA from 1 species